AGUGAAUAGAUACCCGGGUAGUCCAUGCUGUAAACGAUGUCAACUAGCCGUUGGGGCCCUUGAGGCUUUAGUGGCGCAGCUAACGCGAUAAGUUGACCGCCUGGGGAGUACGGCCGCAAGGUUAAAAACUCAAAUGAAUUGACGGGGGCCCGCACAAGCGGUGGAGUAUGUGGUUUAAAUUCGAUGCAACGCGAAGAACCUUACCUGGCCUUGACAUAUCCGGAACCCUGCAGAGAUGCGGGGGUGCCUUCGGGAAUCGGAAUACAGGUGCUGCAUGGCUGUCGUCAGCUCGUGUCGUGAGAUGUUGGGUUAAGUCCCGCAACGAGCGCAACCCUUAUCCUUAGUUGCCAGCGCGUAAAGGCGGGAACUCUAGGGAGACUGCCGGUGACAAACCGGAGGAAGGCGGGGACGACGUCAAGUCAUCAUGGCCCUUACGGCCAGGGCUACACACGUACUACAAUGGUCGGUACAAAGGGUUGCUAAGCCGCGAGGCCACGCCAAUCUCAAAAAGCCGAUCGUAGUCCAGAUUGGAGUCUGCAACUCGACUCC
rnacentral:rRNA from 1 species